AGAAAAAGCCAUUGCGGCUACAGGAGAUCGAGGAAUUCAGCUGGCCUCUGAUUGGCUCUUGUCACAUGUAGAUGACCCUACCCUGGAUGAUGGCACCCCCAGGGAAUAUGUCCUCUAUCUGUGUCCUAACGGUAAAAUGCAGGACGAACUCAACAAAUUCUGGGAGAAGAGCCUCACCCACUGUGGAUGGAACGGGGCGCAUUCCUACUUCCCUCACAUUACCAUGUGUCCAUUCUUCACAGUUGAUGACAAAGAUGUAGGAUUUUUGAGUGAGAGCUUUGUAAAGCUAGAGAACAA